UACAGAGGUCUCGAGCGUUGUUCGGAUUCAUUGGGCGUAAAGGGUGCGCAGGUGGCGCUGUAAGUCGGGUGUGAAAUCCUGAGGCUUAACCUCGGAACUGCAUUCGAUACUGCGGUGCUUGAGGACUGGAGAGGAGACUGGAAUUCAUGGUGUAGCAGUGAAAUGCGUAGAGAUCAUGAGGAAGACCAGUGGCGAAGGCGGGUCUCUGGACAGUUCCUGACGCUGAGGCACGAAGGCCAGGGGAGCAAACGGG
rnacentral:rRNA from 1 species